AUUUUCUUAGUAUAUUAGUACAUUUGCCUUCCAAGCAAGAGGUUUAAUUCAUUUAAAGAAAAUA
rnacentral:tRNA from 1 species